CCUAGCAGCUACACCACCUGCAGUUCAGACUCCAUAAUCCACCUGAAGCUAAGCAGGUUUAGGCCUGGCCAGUACUUGGAUGGGAGACCAACUAGCAAUGUGGGUUGAUGCCGUAA
ensembl:rRNA 5S_rRNA 5S ribosomal RNA